GAUGAAGAACGCAGCGAAAUGCGAUAAGUAAUGUGAAUUGCAGAAUUCAGUGAAUCAUCGAAUCUUUGAACGCACAUUGCGCCCCCUGGUAUUCCGGGGGGCAUGCCUGUUCGAGCGUCAUUUCACCACUCAAGCCUCGCUUGGUAUUGGGCAACGCGGUCCGCCGCGUGCCUCAAAUCGACCGGCUGGGUCUUCUGUCCCCCAAGCGUUGUGGAAACUAUUCGCUAAAGGGUGUUCGGGAGGCUACGCCGUAAAACAACCCCAUUUCUAAGGUUGACCUCGGAUCAGGUAGGGAUACCCGCUGAACUUAAGCAUAUCAAUAAGCGGAGGA
rnacentral:misc_RNA from 1 species